rnacentral:lncRNA from 1 species
GCAUUAAUGAUAUAGGAUAAGCUUGUGGACUUUUGUUUCUCUCUCUCAUCCAACUUCUCCGACAAGCUUUUGCCGAUCUUCUCCUCCUCGCUCGAUCCCUACCUCAGCCGAAGAACCAUUUUAUUUCUGCAUUUCAUUUGGUUUCCUUCGGUCUGUCUUCAGCAUUUUCAACACCACCGAAGCCAUCGAUUUCCCUGCUGCCGUCUCCACAGUUGCCACGGCUUCAAACCGCAUCAUCAUCAUCACCGUCCACCAUCAUCCAACGACACCAUCAUGCUCCCUCAGCCCUCCGAUUCUCCCCACCGUUCCAUCCUCUUUCGUCCAACAGUCAACCGAGUAGUGCCCUCUCUCCACCGAAGCUUGCUCCACUUUCAAUCUCCUCUGCUUAUGUCUUCUUCGGUCAGAAUUUCCUCAGCUGAAGACCACGAAUCUCCACGGUUGCUGCCACAUGUCCAUGAAAGACCUCCCUUCGGUCAAGCUUCUUCUCCGGUGAGGUGUGGUUGACCGAAGCUGCCAGCGGACGCCUUCCAUCUUCAACCGGAUCAACGAAACCAGCAAACCCACCGAUCGUCCUCUCUGUCUCAGGUGCGGCACCCCCGGGAUGGCCUAGCAACAUCCCACGAUGUUGAUUUCUCCAGUUUUGUGUCACCGUUUCUCGCUUGCCCUCUGUCCAGCAACGUUGAGCAGAAACGGAUGCAGCCUCAUCAUCUCUUCUCUCCGUCCAUCAACCACCGAAGACCAGUAAAAUUGCUGCAGUUGCCCGUGUCGUCCGUUGCUCCACCGAAGCCAUGCAUCCAGUCAACACCAGUUGAUCCCCUGCCCGUGUGUUGACUCCAGCAAGCGGCCGAAGCUGUUCUCUCCUUCGAUCUUGCCACGCGUGGUCUUCUCCAGCUCGCGGCCACCGAAGUCCAGUUUCCUCAACUCCUUCGCUGUCUCUGUUGACCGGACUUGCUGCCCCGCGCGAAGCCGAUGGAUUUCGGCCCAGCAACCUUCAAUUUCACGGGCCCAAGAGCCCCGUGAUUUUCAUCCGAGCAAGCCACGAUUUCUUCAAGCCCAGCGAAUCUUCUUCAGCCCAUCUUUAGUUGUUGUCCAGCUCAUUUGAAGCCCAGCAGCAGCCCAUGUGAAAUUGAGCGAAGCCCAGCCCACGAGGAAGGCCCAACCAUAGCCAAGUCCAAGCCCAGUGAUUUUUGUGGGCCUACAAGGCUUGUAGGCUUGGCCCGAGCGUCCGCCGAUGCCGCCGAAAUUUUGGGAUUCGGCCGCCGCCACGCUACCGUCGCGGUGAUUUGGUCUCGGCUUUUAACCAAGUGAGUAAUCUCACUAAUCCUUUCUUAGUAGACUAAUGAUGCUUAAGGGUUGGUUAGAUUUAAUUAAGUGCAAUUAGGUGGUUAGAUUAGCAUGGAUUAGUGGUUAUUAGUUAAUUGCAUUGCAUAUUAGUUAGGUGGUUAGUGUACUUAGCUAGAGAUCUGCCUAUACUAUUUAUUGAAUGUAUCUCGGGAUUUUUCCCGACCCUUAUCGGGCUUCAAUUAGGCAUUUUGGGCCUAAAUUGGAUUUGUCGUAUUUAUUUAUUAAUUUUCGAAAUUAAUUAUUUAAUUAUUUAUUUUUCAGAAAUUAGGCAAGGAUAGCCGACGACCAAAAUUUUAUGCUAAUCGUCGUGGUGCAGUUCGUUUAUUUAAUUGAAUUCUACGUUGUGUUGAAUUGAAUAAAUUGUGGAUUAUUAGGACAUAUUCCUAAAUGAGUUAAUUUUGAGUAAUUGAUCGAAGAACAACCGGGUAUCGGUUGUCAGUGUUUAAUUGAUUGGUGAACUACAAAAUAUUGUGAAAGUCAAGUAAGAUUGGUGAAUAUAGGAAAAUGUCCCAAAAUUAAGAAGUGUCGUUAUUUGAAAGGAAAAUAACCGUGUGAGGUUGUGAGUUUAAUACAUAAUUGCCGAGUAGGGCCGUGAUGCCACUACAUAUAAAUUGCCGAGUGGGGCCGUGAUGCCACUAAAUAUUGAAAGCUUCCAAGUGGGGCCGGGAUGCCACUAAAUCUAAGAAAAUUGCUCGGUAGGGCCGUGAUUACCACCUAUAAAUAAGUUGUGUCCUUUAGGACCGGGAUUUAUAGCCAAGAAAUUGAUAGGCUAGGCUCAUUGAGCCGUUAGUAAGAAUUUGAAAUGGAAUGACUAAAAUGACCGAUGAGUAGUCUUGUUGUCAUGUAAUCGACUAAGUCGAUUGAUCAAUGAUUUGAUUUGAUGUUGUGGAUUGACUGCUUGAGUGGAAGUGACUUUGAAUGGUCCGAUUGACAUGUAAUCGACUAGGUCGAUUGAUCGAGAUAUCGAUCUGUGAUAUGAUUGCUAGGGUGCCUAUUGAAUUGUGCUAAUGUGCAGGUGGAAUCUAAGGCUAAGGUAAGUCCUCUGACCCGUGCGUGUAUAGGCAGCCCGGUUAGCAUAUUGGUUUCCUAAUCGAGUCUUAGUGGGGUAGAACUUGUUGAGAUAUAGUCUCAUCCCGGUUGUGGGACAACAUUUCAGGCCCGUAGAUGAGCCUGUGAAGAAGGAGCCAGAAGAGGACGAUGACCCAGUAAAAGAUGAAGAGCUUGAAGGAUGUGAGCUUAGUGAAGAAGAGUCAGAAGAGGAUCAUGAUGAUCCUGAGUAUGACCCGGAUGAGGAUUGAUAUCUUAUCCUCUUUUGUGAACCUUGUGUUAUAUAUAUAAAGUGUGACUAGAAUGUUAUGAAUAGUCUUGCGAAUAGACUUUGAGUUAUGCCAUGUAUAAAGGUUCAGUUGUGAAUUUCAAUAUGAAAAAUA